rnacentral:rRNA from 1 species
GACGAACGCUGGCGGCGUGCUUAACACAUGCAAGUCGAACGGAAAGGCCCUGCUUUUGUGGGGUGCUCGAGUGGAGAACGGGUGAGUAACACGUGAGUAACCUGCCCUUGACUUUGGGAUAACUUCAGGAAACUGGGGCUAAUACCGGAUAGGAGCUCCUGCUGCAUGGUGGGGGUUGGAAAGUUUCGGCGGUUGGGGAUGGACUCGCGGCUUAUCAGCUUGUUGGUGGGGUAGUGGCUUACCAAGGCUUUGACGGGUAGCCGGCCUGAGAGGGUGACCGGCCACAUUGGGACUGAGAUACGGCCCAGACUCCUACGGGAGGCAGCAGUGGGGAAUAUUGCACAAUGGGCGGAAGCCUGAUGCAGCAACGCCGCGUGCGGGAUGACGGCCUUCGGGUUGUAAACCGCUUUCGCCUGUGACGAAGCGUGAGUGACGGUAAUGGGUAAAGAAGCACCGGCUAACUACGUG